AACGAACGCUGGCGGCAUGCCUAACACAUGCAAGUCGAACGAUGCUUUCGGGCAUAGUGGCGCACGGGUGCGUAACGCGUGGGAAUCUGCCCUUGGGUUCGGAAUAACAGUGAGAAAUUGCUGCUAAUACCGGAUGAUGUCUUCGGACCAAAGAUUUAUCGCCCAGGGAUGAGCCCGCGUAGGAUUAGCUAGUUGGUGGGGUAAUGGCCUACCAAGGCGAAGAUCCUUAGCUGGUCUGAGAGGAUGAUCAGCCACACUGGGACUGAGACACGGCCCAGACUCCUACGGGAGGCAGCAGUGGAGAAUAUUGGAAAAUGGGCGCAAGCCUGAUCCAGCAAUGCCGCGUGAGUGAUGAAGGCCUUAGGGUUGUAAAGCUCUUUUACCCGGGAUGAUAAUGACAGUACCGGGAGAAUAAGCACCGGCUAACUCCGUG
rnacentral:rRNA from 1 species